ACUGGAAGGAACCGUUGAGUAUCCGGCCAAGACAAUCCUGCCGAAUAGCAGCAAACAUGUAUGAUACUAGAGGAUGAUACGAAGGCCACUUGCAUCACUAAUCUGUUAUUUAAUUCUGCUCUAGAGAGAGCAGCAUCUGUGAUGAUACCAUCUGUAGGUUGGGAUGCUACAAGAUCUUGAAUUUGGCGGAGACGCCUGGCCUUGGCUACAACCUCUCGGCUAUUGAGCCGAGCGAGAGCUAUAUUCGCUUGCUGCUAUUGGGCUUCUGCUAAACAUGGAGCCAGAAGAGCAUCGAGCCUGCUCGCAGCAAAGGCAGGCAUGGAAGGCACAAUGGCUGUGAAGCGG